GGGGCGACCAGGGGAUAUCUUCAAAACCCUAACUUGUCACAAAAAGCUCAAAUUGAAAGCCCAAAUCAAGUCCAAAUCGAAAUCUAAACAUAGAUUAGUGAUCCUCAUCACAAGAGGAUUCCAAGGGAAGGAAGCCGGGGCAUCUAGCGGACAAACCGGUGUGGAUGCACGUUGAAGGGUUUACUUUAAAGGUAUUUAGGUGGGUCUCAUGGAUGGCGAUCAAGUGAUUUAAUGAAGAACCGAACACUCCAUUUUGAAGCUUCCGCUAUGUUUUGAACUUGUUAAUUAG